rnacentral:rRNA from 1 species
GGUAACACUGAAUGGAGGACCGAACCGACUUACGUUGAAAAGUGAGCGGAUGAACUGAGGGUAGCGGAGAAAUUCCAAUCGAACCUGGAGAUAGCUGGUUCUCUCCGAAAUAGCUUUAGGGCUAGCCUCAAGUGAUGAUUAUUGGAGGUAGAGCACUGUUUGGACGAGGGGCCCCUCUCGGGUUACCGAAUUCAGACAAACUCCGAAUGCCAAUUAAUUUAACUUGGGAGUCAGAACAUGGGUGAUAAGGUCCGUGUUCGAAAGGGAAACAGCCCAGACCACCAGCUAAGGUCCCAAAAUAUAUGUUAAGUGGAAAAGGAUGUGGCGUUGCCCAGACAACUAGGAUGUUGGCUUAGAAGCAGCCAUCAUUUAAAGAGUGCGUAAUAGCUCACUAGUCGAGUGACACUGCGCCGAAAAUGUACCGGGGCUAAACAUAUUACCGAAGCUGUGGAUUGUCCUUUGGACAAUGGUAGGAGAGCGUUCUAAGGGCGUUGAAGCAUGAUCGUAAGGACAUGU